rnacentral:lncRNA from 1 species
CUUUAAGUCUGAUUUGGUUUGUUUCAUUCACCAAAUUAAAAAUAUAAAUGACCAGUGAUGGUGAAAAUUUCAUGUGAAGGUCAUUUUAUACUAAACACAUAGCUGGGUAUGUUCCUGAGUGAGUUAUAUAUUGUUUUAAGUUCAUUGUGUGUGUGUGUGUGUGGUGUGUGUGUGUGUGUGUGUGUGUGAGAGAGAGAGAGAGAGAGAGAGAGAGAGAGGCAGGGGGUGUGGGGAGGUUGAGGGGAGGGGCAGACAGAAGGAGAAAGAGAAUCCUAAGCAGGCUCCACACCAUCAGUGCAGAGCCAAAUGGGGGGCUCAAACCCACAAAUUUUGUGAUCAUGACCUGAGCCCCAGUUGGACGCUUAACUGACUGAGCCACGCAGGUGCCCCAACAUUAUACUUUUAAUUACAGGGAAGAGAGACUGAAAAAGAAUGUCAAGAAUCGAUCUGUCUCUACUGUAUAGUCAGAUCACUAAAUGGCCUUCUGCUUCAAAGGACCUAAGAUCCUGCUCCCCCCGCAACUCUGAGAAAGGCCCAGAAUCCGAACUUUGAGACAAACACGAUGGCUGGCCUGCCUGAUGGGGAACAAUGACACACAGAGGCAGUAGCAGCAGCAGUGGAGAAUGGAAUCUCACCUCCCUUCUGUGACCACCAUUAGCACACCAAAGCUGCUGGGUCCUAAGAGCGAGUCCUUGAGAAACAAAGAGUAGAAUUACCCAGAUCAGUGAGAGGAUGGCUCAAAAGGCAU